GCGGCAAAAGCUCAAAUUUGAAAUCUGGCACUUUCAGUGUCCGAGUUGUAAUUUGAAGAAGGUAUCUUUGGGUCUGGCUCUUGUCUAUGUUUCUUGGAACAGAACGUCACAGAGGGUGAGAAUCCCGUGCGAUGAGAUGUCCCAGACCUAUGUAAAGUUCCUUCGAAGAGUCGAGUUGUUUGGGAAUGCAGCUCUAAGUGGGUGGUAAAUUCCAUCUAAAGCUAAAUAUUGGCGAGAGACCGAUAGCGAACAAGUACAGUGAUGGAAAGAUGAAAAGAACUUUGAAAAGAGAGUGAAAAAGUACGUGAAAUUGUUGAAAGGGAAGGGCUUGAGAUCAGACUUGGUAUUUUGUAUGUUACUCUCUCGGGGGUGGCCUCUACAGUUUACCGGGCCAGCAUCAGUUUGAGCGGUAGGAUAAGUGCAAAGAAAUGUGGCACUGCUUCGGUAGUGUGUUAUAGUCUUUGUCGAUACUGCCAGCUUAGACUGAGGACUGCGGCUUCGGCCUAGGAUGUUGGCAUAAUGAUCUUAAGUCGCCCGUCUUGAACCACGGACCCA
rnacentral:rRNA from 1 species